UCUCUUAAGGGUUCUGAGGGUGUCAUAUGU
rnacentral:piRNA from 1 species